AAGGAAUAUUGGUCAAUGCCCGCAAGGGUGAACCAGCCAUCCCGCGUGCAGGAAGAAGGGGCUCUGCCUUGUAAACUGCUUUUGCAUGGACGAAAAAAGGGGAUUUAUCCUCGACUGACGGUACCAUGAGAAUAAGCACCGGCUAACUCCGUGCCAGCAGCCGCGGUAAUACGGAGGGUGCGAGCGUUAUCCGGAAUCACUGGGUUUAAAGGGUGCGUAGGCGGUUAUAUAAGUCAGUGGUGAAAGGCCGUCGCUUAACGAUGGGACUGCCAUUGAUACUGUAUAACUUGAGAGAGGUUGAGGUUGGCGGAAUGUGGCAUGUAGCGGUGAAAUGCUUAGAUAUGCCAUAGAACACCAAUUGCGAAGGCAGCUGACUAGACCUCAUCUGACGCUGAGGCACGAAAGCGUGGGGAGCGAAC
rnacentral:rRNA from 1 species